ACUCCAUCUGUCGUACGCAAACAUGUUCACGACACAUCUGGGCAAAACUGACGAGGAGGUUGUGCGAACAAGAUUCAUUAAGCAUUCUGACUAAUUCACAAAGGCCUAUGCAAAUGAGUCUGUGUUAUUUACAGAGCUCUGUGAGAGGAGGCAUUUCAUUGUGGAGCUGAUUGCCUACACAAAGACAAUGCAACACGGAAGCAAUGCCUUUGAUUAUCGCGGCUGUAAUUGCCACAAGGCCAAUGCGUUGCGAUUUGAGGACCGAGGGGAGGAUAUUUUGGAUGAUACGUGCGAUAGUUUUGAUAAACCUUCUGCAAACGAAACCACUGUGUGUGUGUGUGUCUGUCUGUGUGUGUUCACGUGGGUGUGUGUGUGUGUGUGUGUGAGAGAGAGAGAUUCCAAUCUUACUCUUUUCCCAAGGCUAGGUGUUAAUCCAUUUAAUCUUGACACUAAGUGGGUGCUUUUUAAUGUUCUUAAGUUAUUCACAGUUUUUGGAAGAAGAAAAAAAAAAAAAAAACUAAACCGCAUUUUCUUAUAAUGCACAUUGUACGUGGAAUAACUAACAAAAGAGGUUUAAACUGGAGGCAGUGUUGUCCCUGGGCAAUUUUAAAUCUCCUCUUCACAGUCGUGUGAUUGAAGAGAGUAAUUGUUUUUGAUUGUGGGAGGCUGCGUUCAGCGGGUUGUGCUAAUUGACUCUGUACAAGUGCUCUCUCUGGUUCGGUGAGCCAGCGCGCGUCUCUUUGACAUGGGACUUUUGUGUUUUCCUAUUUUAUGUUUCGCUAUCUCUGCCGGGUCUCUACCGAAAAGGAGAUUUUUACUCUCACGGGACCUCCCGGUUAAAUAGAAGCGGUUGUUCAAAGCGCACGCUCCGUCACAGAAUACCUUCCCUUCCGCAUUUCUCCCAUUCACACUGAGGUUAGUUUCUGCAUUUAGUGGGCCGGGUCAAUGGUUGUGUUAAUUCCAGGCGCCGUGGCAACGGGGUUUAGCCUUAACGCGCACAGGGUUCUCCCUUCCCUAAUUGUGAACAACGCUAAACCGUUUCGCUUUGACGAUGUGAUUAGCCUUUUUGCAUAAGUAAUGUAAUGAAUUGGUUACGCUCCUCUUUUUUUUCCCCCCACUGAUUGCAGUCAUGCUUCGCUUGAAAAAAAAAAACGUCACGGUGUCUAAUUACGAUUUGACCAAAUGGGCCUCCAGACUGUCGCUGGAGUGACCAUUUCCAGGACAUGAGUGCCCCCCGCCCCCCUUUCAUACACCCCCUGAGGGUUCUGAAACUUCACUUUAUUUAAGGUAAUUUGUACAUUUACAUUCUGCUCCAAGUGUAACGAAGCGCUCGCUUUGAAACGUUCUCAUGGAAACCUCAAACACUCUGUGAUGAAAUCCAGCCAGGCUCCGUGUCAUCCGUGACAAUGUAGAUGACAAAAAAAAAAAACGGAAUAAAGUAAAAUAAAGAAGGGAAAUUGGACGCCGAGUCAGAAGGACAUGAAAGGAGGCCGUGCGACAGGGCGCCUGUAGGUGCGAGAGGAAAAUCAAAAGAUCGGCGACCGGGUGGCGGAACUCAGAAAAUAAUGGGGCAGACAGGCAUACAUUGGCUGGCUGAUAAGAAAGGAAUUCACAAGAACCUGGCUCUGCCCGCGGGCCUCCUGGGCCUGGAGUUUGAGGACCCCCUGCCCCUGGAGGAACGGUUAGACCGGAUUACACCGAGGUUUGCAUUUCCAACCACAGCCUGCAGGUUGUUCGGGUGCGGGCUGAACAGGUGAGAGCAGGGACCGAAGCUGCUAAGCGACAGCUCCAUGGAAAAGGGCUAUUUAAUCUCUUUAAGGACGGGAGCAGAGACUUAGCAGAGACUCCAGCCAUGGGGAGAAAGGGAGACCACAGCCAGGAAGAGGAGGAGGAAGAGGAAGAGGAAGAGGCGGUCUGCGCGGAGACACGGGCCACGAGGUGGGCGGGAUUAGCGGGGGGAUGAGGUGUACCAGGAACAGAUGUUUUUAAGCUUUGCCAGCUUUAGCCAGCGCUGGAGAGGCACAGGGGACCGGGGGGAAGGGGAGGGAUGGUUUGGGGAUGGGGUGGGGAUGGGGGGGGGGGGGGGGGCAGGAUACGGAUGGGACAGCGGUACCAGCAGGGGGCCCGCUCAGCAGGGGGGUCUGUGAAUGUAUGCCCAUGGGGGUUUGCUAGAUAACUGAGGACCAUAAUGAAAUAAGGACAGAAUUAAAAAAAAAAAAAAGAAAAUAAUCCAAUGCCUUAGGCCUGGCAGGGAAACAAUUUUGCCGGAUAAAGUGGUUCCUUUGUUUUUAAUUGAAUUUAUUUAUUUGUGUGUUGCCAUCUCCCGAUUUGAGCAGGUCUGCAACCCCUGUAGUCAAGUUUUUUUUUUCUGAAUUAUUUGUCCUUCCCCGUGGUGAUGGAUGAUACAAGCGUGCUACCUCAUUUUUAUGCCCCAAUGAAACAAAAUAAAAAAUAAUAUCAAACUACUGCAUUAAAAAAGCAAGUAAAUAAAUAACUAAAAGCA